rnacentral:misc_RNA from 1 species
AAAAUCCAGUGGUGUCUGAAAAAAAUGCAUUGUCAGUGUAUUACUAUGUUAGUUUGAGGAAAAUUACAGUUGGAGGGAAGAAAGUGAAGAUCCCAUACAAGUAUUUAACACCAGAUUCCAAUGGAAAUGGUGGGAGCAUUGUGGAUUCAGGCACGACUUUCACAUUCAUGAAUCGCGGUGUUUUUGAACCAGUACUUGAUGCAUUUGUGAAACGAGUAAAGGGUAUUCCAAGAAGUGAGAGUAUUGAGAUAAUAACAGGUUUGAAGCCAUGUUUCAA